GUUCAUUGCAUCAGAUCUACUGCAGUUCAAAUGAAAAUGUGAAGAAAUUCCUGGUGAAGAAUCAUGUCAAAAGUUUACAUUUGAACUAGUUUCCAAGAGAUCAUAUGCUUUAACUCCAAGUUAAAUGAUUUGACUUAGCAGAGAAGGCCUCGUCCUGACCAGGAAAUCCCUGGUUUCCAGUGCUGUCUGUCACAGAGUGGUGAGUUGAAUUCAGAGAAGAACCUCUUCGCUACCAGACCUAAGGCAACCUUCUCCCACCCAACCUGAAUAAAGAUUCAAACACAUGAUCUAGAAGUUGAGAAGUUUCCAGAGAGUCAGAUAUCCUGCCUAAGAUCUUUUCACUUCUUCUUACCACGUAUAAAUAAAAGACGACAUUUUUGAGGCA